GACGAACCGUACGAACGUUAUUCGGAAUCACUGGGCUUAAAGGGUGCGUAGGCUGCGCGGAAAGUUGGGUGUGAAAUCCCUCGGCUCAACCGAGGAACUGCGCCCAAAACUGCCGUGCUCGAGGGUUGGAGGGGGGACUGGAAUACUUGGUGUAGCAGUGAAAUGCGUAGAUAUCAAGUGGAACACCAGUGGCGAAGGCGAGUCCCUGGACAACUCCUGACACUGAGGCACGAAAGCUAGGGGAGCAAACAGG
rnacentral:rRNA from 1 species